rnacentral:snoRNA from 1 species
CUGCAUACCAGUAGACCUUACCUGGUUCUUCUAAUAGCCAGACGAGGGGGAUGGUGCAUGCUACAAGAACCUGGGGUUGCUGUAGGCUGUGAUCAGCCUCGACGACGUGGCUGAUUGAACUGCAAUACUCCAACAUAC